ACUCUGUCGAGGCCCCGCGAUCGGAAUGAGUACACUUCAAAUCCGUUAACGAGGACCAACCGGAGGGCAAGUCUGGUGCCAGCAGCCGCGGUAAUUCCAGCUCCGGUAGCGUAUAUUAAAGUUGUUGCGGUUAAAAAGCUCGUAGUCCGAAUUCGGGUUCGUGGUCGCUCACGCGGCCCCGGGGCGGCGGCGCCAUCGUCCAUCGUUGACUUUGGUCGUCCGUUCGCAUUCCCGGCCCUUUCCGCCGGUGUCGACCGUCGUAACGUCGCGGGUGCCGGCUGUUCGCAGUCGUGUCUCGUCGGCCUGACGGUCUCUCCUCCAAGGGUGCUCUUAACCGAGUGUCCGCGGCGGCCGGUACGUUCACUUUGAAAAAAUUAGAGUGCUCAGAGCGGGCUGUUCAAGCUUGCAUACGAUAAGCAUGGAAUGAUGAAAGAGGGUCUCGUCUACGUCUGUCGGUCUCCGUCUACGGCGAGACAAUGAUCGAAGGGAGCGGUCGGGGCCACUCGUAUUGCGACGUUAGAGGUGAAAUUCUUGGAUCGUCGCAAGACGAACUGCAGCGAUGGCGUGUGGCAAGCACGUUUUCCUCGAUCAAGAGCGAAAGUCGGAGGUUCGAAGACGAUCAGAUACCGUCGUAGUUCCGACCGUAAACGAUGCCGACCGGCGAUCCGCCGGCGUUCGCUUCCAUGACCCGGCGGGUAGCCUGCGGGAAACCAGAGUUCGGUUCCGGGGGGAGUAUGGUUGCAAAGCUGAAACUUAAAGGAAUUGACGGAAGGGCACCACCAGGAGUGGAGCCUGCGGCUUAAUUUGACCCAACACGGGAAAACUCACCCGGUCCGGACACCGGUAGGAUUGACAGAUCGAUAGCUCUUUCUCGAUUCGGUGGGUGGUGGUGCAUGGCCGUUCUUAGUUGGUGGAGCGAUCCGUCUGGUUGAUUCCGAUAACGAACGAGACUCCGGCCUGCUAACUAGUGCGCCGAUGUGAGUGCGGCCCUUGCUGGUCGUGUGCGGGCUCGUCGGCGGCGAUUUUUGAUCGUCUGUCGUUGCGUGUCCGGGUCGGUUUCUCACGCACUUCUUAGAGGGACGGGUGGCAGAAAGCCACACGAGGCGGAGCGAUAACAGGUCUGUGAUGCCCUUAGAUGUCCGGGGCCGCACGCGCGCUACACUGGAGGUAUCAGCGGGGACUUCGCCCCGGCCCGAGAGGGUCGGGAAACCUCUCAACCACCUCCCGUGAUAGGGAUCGGGGCCUGUAACCAACCCCGUGAACGAGGAAUUCCCGGUAGGCGCGGGUCAACAGCCCGCGUCGAUCACGUCCCUGCCCUUUGUACACACCGCCCGUCGCUACUACCGAUCGAACGGUCCGGUGAGGUCCUCGGAUCUGGCCGACGACGCCGCCGGGCGUGGGCUUUCGGGUCCCGCCUCGGCGUUCGAUGCCUGGAGAAGACGACCGAACCCGAUCGUUUAGAGGAAGUAAAAGUCGUAACAAGGUUUCCGUAGGUGAACCUGCGGAAG
rnacentral:rRNA from 1 species